CAAGGAGUAGUUUAAUUAAAAUACUAAUUUUGGAGAUUAGAGAUGAAUAAUAUUAUUUCUCUUUGA
rnacentral:tRNA from 1 species